rnacentral:rRNA from 1 species
UACGAAGGGGGCUAGCGUUGCUCGGAUUUACUGGGCGUAAAGCGCACGUAGGCGGAUCGUUAAGUCAGGGGUGAAAUCCUGGGGCUCAACCCCAGAACUGCCUUUGAUACUGGCGAUCUCGAGUCCGGAAGAGGUGAGUGGAACUCCUAGUGUAGAGGUGGAAUUCGUAGAUAUUAGGAAGGAACACCAGUGGCGAAGGCGACCACCUGGACUGAUACUGACACUGAGGUGCGAAAGCGUGGGGAGCAAACAGG